AACGCAUCUUGCGCUCCUUGGUAUUCCGAGGAGCAUGCCUGUUUGAGUGUCAUCUAAGUCCUCAAACCACAUUGAUUGUUUUCAGUGUGGUUUGGAUGUGGGGGUUUUUGCAGGCUUUAGAAAUGAAGUCUGCUCCUCUGAAAUGCAUUAGUGGUAUCUGAGCAGAAGAACUACUACAGGUGUGAUAAUUUAUCUAUGCCUUGGUAAUGCUGCAUGAACGGAUUGCACUGCUUCCAACCCAAAAAAAGUUUUUAUUUUGGAGACCUCAAAUCAGGUAGGACUACCCGCUGAACUUAA
rnacentral:misc_RNA from 3 species